UAGAAGAGAUAAUGCUAAAAUUAGUAAUAAGAAGAUACCACGAUCUUCUCCACGCACACGUGUAAGUCAGCCCGGACCAACCACUGACAAUUAACGGACCCAAUAAUAGAGGGUAAAACAACAAAACCAAAAGAACAAGAAAAGCUUGUAUAUAAUAACCGUUAACCCAACACAGGAGUGCCCAAAGGAAAGACUAAAAGGACUAGAAGGAACUCGGCAAACACAAACCCCGCCUGUUUACCAAAAACAUCGCCUCUUGCUAACAAAAUGUAUUAGAGGUCCCGCCUGCCCUGUGACAAAGUUUAACGGCCGCGGUAUCCUGACCGUGCGAAGGUAGCGUAAUCACUUGUCUUUUAAAUGAAGACCUGUAUGAAUGGCAUAACGAGGGUUUAACUGUCUCCUAAUCCCAGUCAAUGAAAUUGAUCUGUCCGUGCAGAAGCGGACAUAAAAACAUAAGACGAGAAGACCCUAUGGAGCUUUAGGCUAAAGAUCAUGCAUGUUAAGAAACUACAACUUCCAAAAGAACAAACAAAAAGUUACACAAACUAAAUGUUAACUGAUCCUAAUGCCUUCGGUUGGGGCGACCACGGGGAAAAAAGAAACCCCCACAUGGAAUGGAAACAUCCCCCUAAACUUAGAGAGACCUCUCCAAGUAACAGAACAUCUGACCAAAAAUGACCCAGGGACCAAAGAACCCUGAUUAAUGAACCAAGUUACCCUAGGGAUAACAGCGCAAUCCUUUCCCAGAGCCCAUAUCGACGAAAGGGUUUACGACCUCGAUGUUGGAUCAGGACAUCCUAAUGGUGCAGCCGCUAUUAAGGGUUCGUUUGUUCAACGAUUAACAGUCCUACGUGAUCUGAGUUCAGACCGGAGUAAUCCAGGUCGGUUUCUAUCUAUGAAAUUACUUCUUCCCAGUACGAAAGGACAGGAAAAAGGGGGCCCAUACCCAAAGCAAGCCCCACCCCCAUCUUAUGAAAACAAAUAAAAAAG
rnacentral:rRNA from 1 species